rnacentral:tRNA from 1 species
UGCGGGGUGGAGCAGUCUGGUAGCUCGUCGGGCUCAUAACCCGAAGGUCGGAGGUUCGAAUCCUCUCCCCGCUA